rnacentral:rRNA from 1 species
GAUGAACGCUGGCGGCGUGCCUAAUACAUGCAAGUCGAGCGAACAGAUGAGGAGCUUGCUCCUCUGACGUUAGCGGCGGACGGGUGAGUAACACGUGGAUAACCUACCUAUAAGACUGGGAUAACUUCGGGAAACCGGAGCUAAUACCGGAUAAUAUAUUGAACCGCAUGGUUCAAUAGUGAAAGACGGUUUUGCUGUCACUUAUAGAUGGAUCCGCGCCGCAUUAGCUAGUUGGUAAGGUAACGGCUUACCAAGGCAACGAUGCGUAGCCGACCUGAGAGAGUGAUCGGCCACACUGUAACUGAGACACGGUCCAGACUCCUACGGGAGGCAGCAGUAGGGAAUCUUCCGCAAUGGGCGUAAGCCUGACGGAGCAACGCCGCGUGAGUUAUGAAGGUCUUCGGAUCGUAAAACUCUGUUAUUAGGGAAGAACAAAUGUGUAAGUAACUAUGCACGUCUUGACGGUACCUAAUCAGAAAGCCACGGCUAACUACGUG